UACGAAGGGGGCUAGCGUUGUUCGGAAUUACUGGGCGUAAAGCGCACGUAGGCGGAUAUUUAAGUCAGGGGUGAAAUCCCGGGGCUCAACCCCGGAACUGCCUUUGAUACUGGGUAUCUCGAGUCCGAGAGAGGUGAGUGGAAUACCGAGUGUAGAGGUGAAAUUCGUAGAUAUUCGCAAGAACACCAGUGGCGAAGGCGGCUCACUGGCCCGGUACUGACGCUGAGGUGCGAAAGCGUGGGGAGCAAACAGG
rnacentral:rRNA from 1 species